rnacentral:rRNA from 1 species
UACAGAGACUGCAAGCGUUGUUCGGAUUCAUUGGGCGUAAAGGGUGCGCAGGCGGUCCGGUUAGUCGGAUGUGAAAUCUCGAGGCCUAACCUCGAUGGGUCAUUCGAAACUACCGGGCUAGAGGACUGGAGAGGAGACUGGAAUGGUUGGUGUAGCAGUGAAAUGCGUAGAGAUCAACCAGAACACCAGUAGCGAAGGCGGGUCUCUGGACAGUUCCUGACGCUCAGGCACGAAAGCCAGGGGAG